rnacentral:rRNA from 1 species
AGCGAACGCUGGCGGCGUGCCUAGCACAUGCAAGUCGAACGUGAAAAGGGAAACCUGAGUAAAGUGGCGUACGGGUGAGUAACGCGUAGGUAAUCUACCCCAGAAUCUGGAAUAACCUGCCGAAAGGCGGGCUAAUACUGGAUAGAGCGAGGGAACUCGUAAGAGAGUUUUUCGGGAAAGGGAGCCCGCAAGGGCCUUCGUUCUGGGAUGAGCCUGCGUCUCAUUAGCUAGUUGGUAAGGUAACGGCUUACCAAGGCGAUGAUGAGUAGCUGGUCUGAGAGGAUGAGCAGCCACACUGGAACUGAAACACGGUCCAGACUCCUACGGGAGGCAGCAGUGGGGAAUCUUGCGCAAUGGACGAAAGUCUGACGCAGCCACGCCGCGUGAGUGAAGAAGGCCUUCGGGUUGUAAAGCUCUGUCGGAUGGGACGAACAUCUUCAUAGUGAAUAGCUAUGAGGACUGACGGUACCAUCAAAGGAAGCACCGGCUAACUCCGUG